rnacentral:rRNA from 1 species
CGCGUAGGUGGUUUGAUCAGUCGGAUGUGAAAGCCCAGGGCUCAACCUUGGAAUUGCAUUCGAUACUGUCUGACUAGAGUAUGGUAGAGGAAAGUGGAAUUUCCGGUGUAGCGGUGAAAUGCGUAGAUAUCGGAAAGAACAUCAGUGGCGAAGGCGACUUCCUGGACCAAUACUGACACUGAGGUGCGAAAGCGUGGGGAGCAAACA